UUCUCCUGGGCGUCCGUCACCAGUAAGAAUCUUCCUCCCAGUGGAGCCGUUCCAGUUUCAGGGGUCCCUCACGUCGUCAAAGCCCCCACAGCACCGCCGAGAGCCGAGGUGAAGUCAGAGACUCAAACAGCAGCAACGAGACCACAGAGAGACCAGAGACCGAAUAGAGAACAGAGACCAGGAGGACCUCCACCAGUACACAGAGGACCCAGACCAGUGCGGGAAGGAGAGCAAGGAGAGACGGAGAGUCGCCGCGUGGUUCGAUACCCUGACGCCCAGCAGCUGUUUGUGGGGAACGUUCCUCACGAUGUGGACAAGACGGAGCUCAAGGAGUUCUUUGAGCAAUAUGGUACAGUCCUGGAGCUGAGGAUCAACAGCGGAGGGAAACUUCCAAACUUUGGUUUCGUGGUGUUCGACGACUCUGAACCCGUUCAGAAGAUCCUGAGCAACCGGGUGAGACGAAUACUUGUUAUUUCAUCUUUCACUGGAUGCUGCAUCAUUUAUUUGUUUAGAAACCACUUUGUGAAACA